rnacentral:rRNA from 1 species
GACGAACGCUGGCGGCGUGCCUAAUACAUGCCAGUAGAACGCACAGUUUAUACCGUAGCUUGCUACACCAUAGACUGUGAGUUGCGAACGGGUGAGUAACGCGUAGGUAACCUGCCUGGUAGCGGGGGAUAACUAUUGGAAACGAUAGCUAAUACCGCAUAAUAUUGAUUAUUGCAUGAUAAUUAAUUGAAAGGUGCAAUUGCACCACUACCAGAUGGACCUGCGUUGUAUUAGCUAGUAGGUGAGGUAACGGCUCACCUAGGCGACGAUACAUAGCCGACCUGAGAGGGUGAUCGGCCACACUGGGACUGAGGCACGGCCCAGACUCCUACGGGAGGCAGCAGUAGGGAAUCUUCGGCAAUGGACGAAAGUCUGACCGAGCAACGCCGCGUGAGUGAAGAAGGUUUUCGGAUCGUAAAGCUCUGUUGUAAGAGAAGAACGGGUGUGAGAGUGGAAAGUUCACACUGUGACGGUAUCUUACCAGAAAGGGACGGCUAACUACGUG